CAAAGUACUAGCAGUAAAAUCAUUAUUGGUUUGAUGCAUGGGCAAUCCUUAAACUUUUCACAUUAUGCCAUCUAGGCUGCAUUCCCUAGCAUUUAUUCUUUUCAAGUGCUGCAUCACUAGUUCAUACCCCCUUGACAUGGGGCCUAGCGUCGGCCUAACAUGCUAACUAGGUUUGUCGCAUGAGGCAUCUGAGCAUAGAACAAAAAGUGCUCUUCGUCCUUUGCUUUACAAUGCGAGGGAGGAUGAUGAAUGAGAGCCCACCACAAGUGAGACCUUGUUCAUGCGCUAGUUGAGAGUUGUCUCGUGGAGACCAAUCAACAUGCCAUUUUAGAACUACUGCCUACAUGGAGGGUAUGGUCCUAUAGUGCAUCUACUAAAAAGAUUAGGGACACUAGAAUGCACUUUCAUUGUCGGUGGACCUAAAUGACACAUUUAAGGGCUACUUAUGUAUUUUUCUCUUUUCUCUAAAUGGGUAUUUAGAGAACCUUGAUGAAGAUAAGCGGCAUAUAUGGUGAAAUAUGAGGCAUAACAAGCACCAAGCAAUAUUCAACACAAGGCACAUAUGUACUUGACAUAACGUAGUCAUUAGAUGCAAGGUUGAGGCUCAGAUCUGAUCAGGGAUCAAUCUUAGAUGGUUUGCCUGAAACAAUGUCAUCAUGGCUUGGGCAAAAAGCGAGAAAGAGAGAGGGAGUAGCUUGACCAACUCUUGUUGGCUAUCAUGGUUGUUGAUAGCUGAAGUUGACAUGGUUGCCAUCAUUAGUGUGGAGUAAGAAG
rnacentral:lncRNA from 7 species